GACAGAGGGUGCAAACGUUGUUCGGAAUUACUGGGCGUAAAGCGUGUGUAGGCGGCCAUAUAAGUCGGAUGUGAAAGCCCUGGGCUCAACCCAGGAAGUGCACUCGAUACUGUGUGGCUCGAGUACUGGAGAGGUUGGUGGAAUUCUGGGUGUAGAGGUGAAAUUCGUAGAUAUCCAGAGGAACACCGGUGGCGAAGGCGGCCAACUGGACAGAUACUGACGCUGAGACACGAAAGCGUGGGGAGCAAACAGG
rnacentral:misc_RNA from 1 species